rnacentral:rRNA from 1 species
GUCCACGCCGUAAACGAUGGGCACUAGGCGUCGGGGGGAGCGACCCUCCCGGUGCCGUCGCUAACGCAGUAAGUGCCCCGCCUGGGGAGUACGGCCGCAAGGCUGAAACUCAAAGGAAUUGACGGGGGCCCGCACAAGCGGUGGAGCAUGUGGUUUAAUUCGAAGCAACGCGAAGAACCUUACCUGGGCUUGACAUGCUGGUGAAAGCCGGUGGAAACAUCGGUCCCUCUUCGGAGCACCAGCACAGGUGCUGCAUGGCUGUCGU